rnacentral:tRNA from 1 species
GGGCCGUUAGCUCAAUUGGCAGAGCAGAGGACUUUUAAUCCUUGGGUUCCGGGUUCGAGUCCCGGACGGCCUA